GCUCACUUUGGAAGCAAAUACUAAAAUUGGAAUAAUACAGAGAAUAUUAUCAUGGCCCCUUGCACAAGGAUGACACACAAAUUUGUGAAGUGCUCUAUAUUUUU
ensembl:snRNA U6 U6 spliceosomal RNA